rnacentral:rRNA from 1 species
AACGAACGCUGGCGGCAUGCCUAACACAUGCAAGUCGAACGAGACCUUCGGGUCUAGUGUCGCACGGGUGCGUAACGCGUGGGAACCUGCACUUAGGUUCGGAAUAACUCCCCGACAGGGGUGCUAAUACCGGAUAAUGUCUUCGGACCAAAGAUUUAUCGCCUUUGGAUGGGCCCGCGUUGGAUUAGCUAGUUGGUAGGGUAAAAGCCUAACACGGCGACGAUCCAUAGCUGGUCAGAGAGGAUGAUCAGCCACACUGGGACUGAGACACGGCCCAGACUCUUACGGGAGGCAGCAGUGGGGAAUAGUGGACAAUGGGCGAAAGCCUGAUCCAGCAAUGCCGCGUGAGUGAUGAAGGCAUUAGGGUUGUAAAGCUCUUGUACCCGGGAUGAUAAUGACAGUACCGGGAGAAUAAGCUCCGGCUAACUCCGUG